CCUACGGGCGGCAGCAGUAAGGAAUAUUGGUCAAUGGAGGAAACUCUGAACCAGCCAUCCCGCGUGAAGGAUGAAGGGGCUCUGCCUUGUAAACUUCUUUUGUCUGGGGCGAAAAAGCUCGAUUUAUCGAGAACUGACGGUACCAGAAGAAUAAGCACCGGCUAACUCCGUGCCAGCAGCCGCGUUAAUACGGAGGGUGCAAGCGUUAUCCGGAUUAACGGGGUUGAAGGCGGCUUUGGACGGCUUUGGUGAAAGGCUGUGGCUUAACCAUGGAAUUGCCAUUGAUACUGCAGAGCUUGAAUGAGGUUGAGGUUGGCGGAAUGUGACAUGUAGCGGUGAAAUGCUUAGAUAUGUCAUGGAACACCGAUUGCGAAGGCAGCUGACUGGACCUAUAUUGACGCUGAGGCACGAAAGCGUGGGGAGCGAACAGGAUUAGAUACCCGGGUAGUC
rnacentral:rRNA from 1 species